rnacentral:ncRNA from 1 species
CGAACAGGUGCGCGCUUUGGUUCCGGCCCGCAAGGCCGGAUGAAAAGGGAACCCGGCGGGCCGCCUGCGGCCAAUCCGGGGCUGCCCCCGCAACUGUGGGCGGAGAGCGACGGCCGACGACGCCACUGGGAUCCGUCCCGGGAAGGCCGGCCCGAGCGAUGAUCCGCAAGCCAGGAGACCUGCCAGGGCGAUCACCCAUUC